rnacentral:piRNA from 1 species
UUGAGUUUGCCAGGUCAGUUCUC